ensembl:lncRNA
CUCCAAGGCCGAUCCCAGCACCCCCCUUUCCCUUCCCUACCCACGCCCCCCGCGACUCCAUAAUGUUCGAGUGUGAAGAGAACUCUCCAAUAAACGGACAGUUAGACAUGUCCUGUAUCCUGUGGGUCCGUGUGUGACGUGGGAUGAGACAAGACAGAGGUAGUGAGUUGAGACCAGCAGUGUAGCAGCAGCAGUGGCGCCAGGGCACUGACCUUCUCAGACACAACCAUCACUCAACAAUCUGCUCAGCCGGUCCCCUCCUCCUCCAUCCCCCUAUUCCUGUCUCACCCACAGCUCUCUCUCUCUCCAUCCCCCUACCCCUCUCCACCCAUCUCUCUCUUCCUCUGAUGAUGAGCCAGACCCAGGCUAUGUGGAAGUCUCUGGUUCUCGGCAGCACUAGUCUUCAAACGUCACUGACCCUAUAUUAAGCAG